UUCUCCCCACCUAUUACUCUGUUCUAUUUUUUUCCUCUUUUUAUCUUGGCCUUUUGUUUCUCUCUCGAGAGAGACGAUAUUUAGAACUACUAAUACCCAAAGAUUCGAACAAUCAAAAGCAUCAUAGUAGAACAAAUUUGUGUAACUCAAUCGAUUGAAUGAAGUGUUUGAAGCAGCAUGGGUGUAACUCACUACUGUGCUUGAGGAAAUUAAGGCUUUGAAAAGAUUCCAAGAUCAAUCUGCGUUGUCUUAUUGGUUACGGUGAUGGCGGUGGACCUGGUGAUGCUACUGGUUAUAGGAGUGGUGGUGGUGGUUAAGGGAGUGGUGGUGGUGAAGGAUUCGUCGAUGAAUUGAAAAAAUUAAAUUUUUAAUUUUAGUUUUCAUGGAAGUUAGCGGAAGUGUUGAUUACGGUGGUGGUGUUGGUUACAACGUUGGUGAUGAUGGCGCUGGUUAGCGUAGUGGUGAUGGUUGUUAUCUGUUGACGGUGGAGGUGUUCAGGGUAAAGAGGACAGCGAUAAAGAGAACGAAGAGUUUUCAAUUAAAUUAUCAAGUUACAACGUUAUCCUUUGUUACAUUAUUCUGAUAGGAAAAUUAGUGAGGGUAGUUUAGUAACUAAGGGUGUCCACGGUUGAAAAAGAGAUAUUUUCUUUAUAUUAGUAAGAUAUUCUAAUAUAUAUCCUCCAUGUUAUUUUUCUA